AGGAAACCCAGCAGCUUUUGAUCUCUUCCCAGCUGCUGCAGUUGCAUCCCAGGCUGAGAUGGCUGUAGCACCAACCCACUCCUGCUCUGGGCUCCCUGGACUCUGCUUCUCCCGUGUCCUCCUUGCCUUCUGGUGCACCUUUGUGGGCAGCGGCUCUGCCGUGACAGUGACCCAAACUCCAAGCUUUGUCAGUGACUCGACAGGGAAAAAUAUUUCCUUCAGGUGCUCUGUGGAUGAUACAAGCUACAGGAUUUUUUUGUAUCGCCAAUUGCCUGGGAAAACAGAACUGAAAGUCCUUGCAUACCUCUCCACUGCUAGUUCAGAACUUGAAGAUAUUCCAUCUGAACUGAAGGAUCGGCUGAAAGGAAAGGGUUCGAAGUCUGACAACUUGCGGAAAAUGAGUUUGGAUUUGUUUAAACUUCAGGCGAAUGACACAGGCUUGUAUCUGUGUGCUGCGGUGUACACAGUGAAAGAGAAAGGAACAGUGGCAGGUGCAAAACUGAGUAUCAGGAACAAAUCUGCCCUCUACUCUUUUCUACUCAUAUCCAUCUUUUACUGACAUCCAUGGGUAACCCUGUUCUACAUCCUAGGGGGGUCUCAUAUUUCAAACAGCCUUUGGCCAAUUUAUGCCUUUUAGAUACCC